rnacentral:pre_miRNA from 1 species
AGGAGCAACAACCCACAGCUCUGGAAACCUGGAUUCAGCUCCUGCAAGAACUACUCUGUCUGCAGGGCCUGGAGGCUCCGGGGCGGG